rnacentral:rRNA from 1 species
GCUCAGGAUGAACGCUGGCGGCGUGCUUAGCACAUGCAAGUCGAACGAAGCGCUUAAACGGAUUUCUUCGGAUUGAAGUUUUUGCGACUGAGUGGCGGACGGGUGAGUAACGCGUGGGUAACCUGCCUCGUACAGGGGGAUAACAGUUAGAAAUGACUGCUAAUACCGCAUAAGCACACAGUGCUGCAUGGCACAGUGUGAAAAACUCCGGUGGUAUGAGAUGGACCCGCGUCUGAUUAGCUAGUUGGUGGGGUAACGGCCUACCAAGGCGACGAUCAGUAGCCGGCCUGAGAGGGUGAACGGCCACAUUGGGACUGAGACACGGCCCAAACUCCUACGGGAGGCAGCAGUA